GCGAACGUGGUGCACGGUGCACGGCUGUGAAACGUUGAGGGGAGUCUACAUCGUGUCUACAGUAAUCGGGGUUCGACUCCCCGCGUCCGCA